CACCGCCCGUCACACCAUGAGAGUUGGCAAUACCCGAAGUCCGUAAGCUAACCGUAAGGAGGCAGCGGCCGAAGGUAGGGUCAGCGAUUGGGGUGAAGUCGUAACAAGGUAGCCGUAGGAGAACCUGCGGCUG
rnacentral:ncRNA from 1 species